rnacentral:lncRNA from 1 species
ACCAAGGCCGCCGUCCGUCCGUCCGAGAGCACCAUCCGGCUAGCCGCAUCUAAUAACCGUUCAGGCAAAGUCUUCACCAAGCGAUCAUCCUGACGACAACGAUUCAGCCUCAACACUUCAAGACGACUUCAAGGAUCAUCAAGAGGAGCAAGGCGAGGUCAUCUCAUGAUCUUCUUCAACGUUCAACCUUUCGACAAGCCGAGCUUCAACCAUUCUCACCGAAGGUUCGUGGAACGCAUCACCACCAAGGAACCUUCGAUCAAGACAAGCUUUGGGAAGCUUAGCUCGAGUGCCUUCACCUCCACGUCCGAGUGAAGGCAUCCCUAAGACGUUAGGUGAGCUGUACUCUUUUUCCCAACUUCGGGUUUGUCCCAAUGGGUUUACCGAAGGGGUUUUAACGAGGCAGCAAGUCUAAUGCAUCUCCACUGCGAUCCCACUCGACUCACGACUUGGAAACGUUAGUAGACAAGCUCCGGAGCCGAGGAAGUGAAGAUCCUAUCUCCAAGAAGGCAUCCAUCUUCAAUAAAGCCUUCUCCAUCGAUCCUUAUCGAUCCGUUUCUAUUUUCUCGAAUAAUUCUCGGUCGUUUCACUUUUUACCGAGAAUUUCUCGAUCCUUUUACCUUUUUAUCGAGAAUUACUCGAUCUUUUCACCUUUGACCGAGAGAGCCGUUAGAAAACGCGCUUUCUCGCUUUUCCUUUGUGUGGAGCUUAAAGACCCACGUGUCUAGGGCAACUUUAAGCCCACUUUCUCGAUCACUUGUCUAUUUAAGGGCAAGCUCUCGAUUGUAAUAGGGACGCUUGAAUAAAAUACCGAAAAUGUUUCCUUUUCUCGCGUCUCUCUUCGUUUUCUCGAGCCGUGAAGGCUAGAGAUCAAAAAUCCUUGAAGAUCCUCGAACCGGGUUUCGUUGAUCUUCAAGCCGACCGUAUCGUGAGUUCCUUCCCAUAGCUCACGUGGCGUCAUUCGAUCCACACACACCCAGCCCGAGUACUCCUUCAUUUGUACGAAGGGUACUCUCCACCCCCAAAUCUUCCAUCGAAGGCUCCGACGGUUUCCGAGCCCAGUCAACGACCAACGGACGUGCCAUCGAUCAUAUCCAUCGCACCCGGGGGUUUAUCAACUGGUAUCAGAGCCAAAGGUUCUAUCGUGUUAGGUUGUAUCUAUCCUUUAUCAUUUUUUUUAUCGAGUCAUUUCUUCGCACUUGCAUGUUUUAUCGAGAAAAACCCUAUAAAAAUCGUAUUUUUGCAUCUUGUUUCGAGUCUUGUCGUAUUUUAUGCUUCCGCCUGCAUCUCUUCCACCGUAGAUCUGUUAAAGUCGUGUUUUUGCAUCUAGAUCGAUUGAGUUUUUAGAUUCUUUGCAUCGCUCUCAAAAGUUUUUCGAUAAAGUUCGCAUCUUUGCAUAUUUUCUCGAUCUUUUGUUUGUUGUAUCGAGUCUCUGCGUGUUUUCUGGUCUUUUUAUCGAGUCUUAGCUUGUUUAUUGCUUUGUUUCUGUUGUUUGUGUUCGGAUCCAUCGAGUUUCUCGAUAGAUCUUGUGUUCUCGUCAAAAGUCUCGGAAAAAGUUUGCACCUUUGCAUUCUUCGUCGAGAUUUUUGCAAAUUUAAGGUAUUUUGUCGAGUCUUUGUUUGUUUCUUGCUUUCUUUCUAUUGUUCUUGUCUAUAUCUUUCGAGUUUCUCGAUUGAUCUUGUGUUGUCGUCAAAAGUCUCAGUAAAGUUUGCACCUUUGCACCCUUCGUCGAGAGUUUUGCAAAUUUCUGGUAAUUUUGUCGAGUAAUAGUUUGAGUCUAGCUUUCUUUUUGUUGUUUGAGUCUAGAUCUUUCGAGUUUCUCGAUCGAUCUUGCAUCGUUUCGAAAAUUAUCGAAGAGAUUUGCAUUCUUGCAUCUUUCAUCGAGAAUUUUGUGCGAUUUUGUGUUUCUUGCGAGAGUUGUUUUUGUUCUUGCUUAGUUUUUGCUAGAUCUGUUCUUAGGGUCUUUGCUUUUUGUUUUUGUGUUAUAGGGUGUUAGAUCUUGUCUUGUUUCCCUUUUUGCUUCCUUGUUUGUUUUGCUUUUGCUUGGUAAAAUUACAAGGGUAAAAGUCAUUUGGUUUCUACCACUUGCUUUUUUCUCUUUAAUUCCUAGCCUUUCCUUUUGAAUUCAAAGUUGGUCAAAACCACUUUUGAAUUUUUGUGUGGUGUUAGGUCCUAGCUUUUGUUGUGUGGUCUUAGUUGUUUUGUCUUGUUCUUCUUUUGCUUUUGCUUUCUUGCUUUUGCUUUUACUUUUACUUUUUGAGAUUAUUCAUUUGAUCAUUGAUCUUGUAUUUAAUCUCUCCUUUCUUUUCUUGUGUCUUGCGAGGUACUCCACCGAACAACCAUCGGUGACCGGACGAACCGCCGUCGCUGCCGGAGUCCGAUCGUACCAUCCCUCUCGCACCCGACAGUUGUCCACUGUCGCACCCGAUCGUCCGUACCGACCAUCCGUCCGUACCGACAGCCGAACAUCGACCAGCCGUCCGUACUCGCCGGAAUUCCGUACAAUCCGUCCGUACCAUCGACCGAGAGCAUUCCAAUGUUGUGAUCUACACCAUUCAACAUCGAUCAAGUAUGGGAUAUGUCCGGGUCGACUCCGACAAUGAUUCUUGGCGUGAGUACGACCACCAUGUCGAUCAAGAGGAUGAACCAUGGCAUGAUGAAGGCUAUGACAGCAACCCGGAUCAAGAGCCAACCGAGAACGUAUCCCCGGGUUAUUGGCCAUCAUCAUCACAAGCCAUCCGCCAUCAUGAGCCACGGACAAAGUUAUAUGAAGAUGAGUCCGAUAGUGAUGACUUGAGCUUCGGUCAUGAGGUCGUAAGAAAUCGAUCUCCGAAGAAGUUGGUGCUUACUUCCGAAGUAGCAGGUCUAAGGGAUUCGUUCGAUUCUCUCGAAGCCAAACUUCAACUCAUUGAAGAAUGGUAUGCUCGGGAAGCGACAUCCAAGCGUCAACACCGUACAUCAUCACCACCGGAUCAACAAAUCAGUCCGGAAGAAGUCAUUGGUUCAGGAGGAACCAAAGACAACCCAGUCCAGCCAGCCGAAGUCGAAGCUAGCGCAUCCGGCAACGUUCACCAAGAGGAGUCAUCGACCAGAAUGAGUUCUCCUGAUCAUUUGGCCAUGGGAUUCGAAAAUCACUCGAAAACCAUGCAUUUAAAUGAUUCUGGUCGAAGCAGAAUGUUGAGUGGAUCAGUUUCCGUUGAAGUUGGUCGAGAUACUCAACCCGGAGACGAGCAACGAGUGGAGAAGCCAACCAGAUUGAGUUCUACUCGUCUAUUGACUAUGGGAUUCGAAAGUCACUCGAAAACCAUGUCUUUAGAUGAUUUGGGUCGAAGCACUUUCCUUAGUGGAUCAGUUCCUGUUGGAGCCGAUCGAGAUAUGCUUCCCAAAGACGUACCGGGAUUGGAGCAGUCGACCAUUCUGGAAUUCGUUGAUCUUUUGGCUAAGGGCUCUCGUUUUCACUCGAUACUGAGGCAUUCUGGAGACAUGGGUCAUGACAGAUCUAGUGGUUAUCGAUCUCAUUUGAGAGUUGAUCGAGAGGUGCUUCCUCAUUCGACAUAUGGCCGUGUAAGGCGUAUGCACCCACCCGAGAGGACAACUGAUGGUCCUAUCGCUUUAGUACUGUUUCAACCAGCCAUGGUGAAGUAUAUCCUCCAGCUGGGAGUUGCCGAGGCAGUACCCACCUUUCCCACCCAACGCACUAAGGCCGAUUUCGCUAAAGGGGUCUCGGCCACAAUCUUUUGCAACUUUGGUGCGAUCCAAUCCUAUGUGUGGCAUCCUGGAGAGUUUCAACCAGCCUCCAAUGAUUUUAAAGAAGCUACCAAUGCCACCAGCUUCACCGGGGAAGUUUAAGUCUUUUUACUUAGAACUUUAAUUUUUCCAUUCGAUCCCGGUAUAUUGUUUUGUAGCUUCCUUCUUGAUGCUACUGAUAUGGUUUCUUUUUGAUCCAGGUACUAAGCUAAGUUUUGAGGACAAAACUUCAAUAAGAGGGAGGGAAUGAUGCGUCCCCGGAAAUCGAGUCACCAAGGCCGCCGUCUGUCCGUCCGAGAGCACCAUCCGGCCGGCCGCAUCUAAUAACCAUUCGGGCAAAGUCUUCACCAAGCGAUCAUCCCGACGACAACGAUUCAGCCUCAACACUUCAAGACGACUUCAAGGAUCAUCAAGAGGAGGAAGGCGAGGUCAUCUCAUGAUCUUCUUCAACGUUCAACCUUUCGACAAGCCGAGCUUCAACCAUUCUCACCGAAGGUUUGUGGAACGCAUCACCACCGAGGAACCUUCGAUCAAGACAAGCUUUGGGAAGCUUAGCUCAAGUGCCUUCACCUCCACGUCCGAGUGAAGGCAUCCCUAAGACGUUAGGUGAGCUGUACUCUUUUUCCCAACUUUGGGUUUGUCCCAAUGGGUUUACCGAAGGGGUUUUAAAGAGGCAGCAAGUCUAAUGCAUCUCCACUUCGAUCCCACUCGACUCACGACUUGGAAACGUUAGUAGACAAGCUCCGGAGCCGAGGAAGUGAAGAUCCUAUCUCCAAGAAGGCAUCCAUCUUCAAUAAAGCCUUCUCCAUCGAUACUUAUCAAUCCGUUUCUAUUUUCUCGAAUAAUUCUCGGUCGUUUUACUUUUUACCGAGAAUUUCUCGAUCCUUUUACCUUUUUAUCGAGAAUUACUCGAUCUUUUCACCUUUGACCAAGAGAGCCGUUAGAAAACGCGCUUUCUCGCUUUUCCUUUGUGUGGAGCUUAAAGACCCACGUGUCUAGGGCAACUUUAAGCCCACUUUCUUGAUCACUUGUCUAUUUAAGGGCAAGUCUCUCGAUUGUAAUAUGGACCCUUGAAUAAACUACCGAA